rnacentral:rRNA from 1 species
ACGAUGCGUAGCCGACCUGAGAAAGGGUGAUCGGCCACACNUGGGACUGAGACACGGCCCAGACUCCUACNGGGAGNGCAGCAGUAGGGAAUCUUCCGCAAUGGACGAAAGUCUGACGGAGCAACGCCGCGUGAGUGAUGAAGGUUUUCGGAUCGUAAAACUCUGUUGUUAGGGAAGAACAAGUACCGUUCGAAUAGGGCGGCACCUUGACGGUACCUAACCAGAAAGCCACGGCUAACUACGUGCCAGCAGCCGCGGUAAUACGUAGGUGGCAAGCGUUGUCCGGAAUUAUUGGGCGUAAAGCGCGCGCAGGCGGUUUCUUAAGUCUGAUGUGAAAGCCCCCGGCUCAACCGGGGAGGNNGUUCAUUGGNNANANANCUNNGGGNGGAAANCUUGAGUGCAGAAGAGGAGAGUGGAAUUCCACGUGUAGCGGUGAAAUGCGUAGAGAAUGUGGAGGAACACCCCAGUGGCGNAAGGCGACUCUUUCUGGUUCCUGUAACUGACGCUGAGGC